rnacentral:rRNA from 1 species
GAUGAACGCUGGCGGCGUGCCUAAUACAUGCAAGUCGAGCGAACGGACGAGAAGCUUGCUUCUCUGAUGUUAGCGGCGGACGGGUGAGUAACACGUGGAUAACCUACCUAUAAGACUGGGAUAACUUCGGGAAACCGGAGCUAAUACCGGAUAAUAUUUUGAACCGCAUGGUUCAAAAGUAAAAGACGGUCUUGCUGUCACUUAUAGAUGGAUCCGCGCUGCAUUAGCUAGUUGGUAAGGUAACGGCUUACCAAGGCAACGAUGCAUAGCCGACCUGAGAGGGUGAUCGGCCACACUGGAACUGAGACACGGUCCAGACUCCUACGGGAGGCAGCAGUAGGGAAUCUUCCGCAAUGGGCGAAAGCCUGACGGAGCAACGCCGCGUGAGUGAUGAAGGUCUUCGGAUCGUAAAACUCUGUUAUUAGGGAAGAACAUAUGUGUAAGUAACUGUGCACAUCUUGACGGUACCUAAUCAGAAAGCCACGGCUAACUACGUGCCAGCAGCCGCGGUAAUACGUAGGUGGCAAGCGUUAUCCGGAAUUAUUGGGCGUAAAGCGCGCGUAGGCGGUUUUUUAAGUCUGAUGUGAAAGCCCACGGCUCAACCGUGGAGGGUCAUUGGAAACUGGAAAACUUGAGUGCAGAAGAGGGAAGUGGAAUUCCAUGUGUAGCGGUGAAAUGCGCAGAGAUAUGGAGGAACACCAGUGGCGAAGGCGACUUUCUGGUCUGUAACUGACGCUGAUGUGCGAAAGCGUGGGGAUCAAACAGGAUUAGAUACCCUGGUAGUCCACGCCGUAAACGAUGAGUGCUAAGUGUUAGGGGGUUUCCGCCCCUUAGUGCUGCAGCUAACGCAUUAAGCACUCCGCCUGGGGAGUACGACCGCAAGGUUGAAACUCAAAGGAAUUGACGGGGACCCGCACAAGCGGUGGAGCAUGUGGUUUAAUUCGAAGCAACGCGAAGAACCUUACCAAAUCUUGACAUCCUUUGACAACUCUAGAGAUAGAGCCUUCCCCUUCGGGGGACAAAGUGACAGGUGGUGCAUGGUUGUCGUCAGCUCGUGUCGUGAGAUGUUGGGUUAAGUCCCGCAACGAGCGCAACCCUUAAGCUUAGUUGCCAUCAUUAAGUUGGGCACUCUAAGUUGACUGCCGGUGACAAACCGGAGGAAGGUGGGGAUGACGUCAAAUCAUCAUGCCCCUUAUGAUUUGGGCUACACACGUGCUACAAUGGACAAUACAAAGGGCAGCGAAACCGCGAGGUCAAGCAAAUCCCAUAAAGUUGUUCUCAGUUCGGAUCGUAGUCUGCAACUCGACUACAUGAAGCUGGAAUCGCUAGUAAUCGUAGAUCAGCAUGCUACGGUGAAUACGUUCCCGGGUCU